rnacentral:sRNA from 1 species
CUUCAAGCAAUGGAGCAUACGGUGGAGUAGGGUUACUUUGGCCGGUUUCAUCUACUCCGCCUCUAAUCCCGAAUGAACAUUAUGAAUGAUUCGCCGAGAGUUUUUCAUGAAUCAAUCUCUUCUCCUUUGUUAAAUUUUUGUUAAAUUCACAAUAUUAUAUACUUUUAUCCCGAACAUCGUUCUUACAUUUGUAAUAUUUUAAUGGUCUUUACUCCGCCCCAUUGUUACUUCAACUAGAAUUCCACUUAUGAUUUAGUCCUUUUUUCCUGCACAGAAAAAAACAGAUGCCCUGGCCGGUAAAUGGUCAAGUGCAUCUGUUU